rnacentral:rRNA from 1 species
AUUGAACGCUGGCGGCAUGCUUUACACAUGCAAGUCGAACGGUAACAGGCCGCAAGGUGCUGACGAGUGGCGAACGGGUGAGUAAUGCACCGGAACGUGCCCAGUCGUGGGGGAUAACGCAGCGAAAGCUGCGCUAAUACCGCAUACGAUCUCUGGAUGAAAGCGGGGGACCGAAAGGCCUCGCGCGAUUGGAGCGGCCGAUGUCAGAUUAGGUAGUUGGUGGGGUAAAGGCUCACCAAGCCAACGAUCUGUAGCUGGUCUGAGAGGACGACCAGCCACACUGGGACUGAGACACGGCCCAGACUCCUACGGGAGGCAGCAGUGGGGAAUUUUGGACAAUAGGCGCAAGCCUGAUCCAGCAAUGCCGCGGGCAGGAAGAAGGCCUUCGGGUUGUAAACUGCUUUUGUACGGAACGAAACGGUCCUGGUUAAUACCUGGGGCUAAUGACGGUACCGUAAGAAUAAGCACCGGCUAACUACGUGCCAGCCGCCGCCGUAAAAC